rnacentral:rRNA from 1 species
GAUGAACGCUGGCGGCGUGCCUAAUACAUGCAAGUCGAGCGAACGGACGAGAAGCUUGCUUCUCUGAUGUUAGCGGCGGACGGGUGAGUAACACGUGGAUAACCUACCUAUAAGACUGGGAUAACUUCGGGAAACCGGAGCUAAUACCGGAUAAUAUUUUGAACCGCAUGGUUCAAAAGUGAAAGACGGUCUUGCUGUCACUUAUAGAUGGAUCCGCGCUGCAUUAGCUAGUUGGUAAGGUAACGGCUUACCAAGGCAACGAUGCAUAGCCGACCUGAGAGGGUGAUCGGCCACACUGGAACUGAGACACGGUCCAGACUCCUACGGGAGGCAGCAGUAGGGAAUCUUCCGCAAUGGGCGAAAGCCUGACGGAGCAACGCCGCGUGAGUGAUGAAGGUCUUCGGAUCGUAAAACUCUGUUAUUAGGGAAGAACAUAUGUGUAAGUAACUGUGCACAUCUUGACGGUACCUAAUCAGAAAGCCACGGCUAACUACGUGCCAGCAGCCGCGGUAAUACGUAGGUGGCAAGCGUUAUCCGGAAUUAUUGGGCGUAAAGCGCGCGUAGGCGGUUUUUUAAGUCUGAUGUGAAAGCCCACGGCUCAACCGUGGAGGGUCAUUGGAAACUGGAAAACUUGAGUGCAGAAGAGGAAAGUGGAAUUCCAUGUGUAGCGGUGAAAUGCGCAGAGAUAUGGAGGAACACCAGUGGCGAAGGCGACUUUCUGGUCUGUAACUGACGCUGAUGUGCGAAAGCGUGGGGAUCAAACAGGAUUAGAUACCCUGGUAGUCCACGCCGUAAACGAUGAGUGCUAAGUGUUAGGGGGUUUCCGCCCCUUAGUGCUGCAGCUAACGCAUUAAGCACUCCGCCUGGGGAGUACGACCGCAAGGUUGAAACUCAAAGGAAUUGACGGGGACCCGCACAAGCGGUGGAGCAUGUGGUUUAAUUCGAAGCAACGCGAAGAACCUUACCAAAUCUUGACAUCCUUUGACAACUCUAGAGAUAGAGCCUUCCCCUUCGGGGGACAAAGUGACAGGUGGUGCAUGGUUGUCGUCAGCUCGUGUCGUGAGAUGUUGGGUUAAGUCCCGCAACGAGCGCAACCCUUAAGCUUAGUUGCCAUCAUUAAGUUGGGCACUCUAAGUUGACUGCCGGUGACAAACCGGAGGAAGGUGGGGAUGACGUCAAAUCAUCAUGCCCCUUAUGAUUUGGGCUACACACGUGCUACAAUGGACAAUACAAAGGGCAGCGAAACCGCGAGGUCAAGCAAAUCCCAUAAAGUUGUUCUCAGUUCGGAUUGUAGUCUGCAACUCGACUACAUGAAGCUGGAAUCGCUAGUAAUCGUAGAUCAGCAUGCUACGGUGAAUACGAUCGCGGGUC